GCCUAAUACAUGCAAGUCGAACGGUCUUUCUAUGGAAGCUUGCUUCCACUGAGAAGAUAGUGGCGAACGGGUGAGGUAACACGUGGGUAACCUGCCCAUAAGAGGGGGAUAACAUCCGGAAACGGGUGCUAAUACCGCAUAGUUUUCUUGAUCGCAUGAUCGGGAAAGGAAAGACGGCCUUUGUGCUGUCGCUUAUGGAUGGACCCGCGGCGUAUUAGUUAGUUGGUGAGGUAACGGCUCACCAAGACGAUGAUACGUAGCCGACCUGAGAGGGUGAUCGGCCACAUUGGGACUGAGACACGGCCCAAACUCCUACGGGAGGCAGCAGUAGGGAAUCUUCCGCAAUGGACGAAAGUCUGACGGAGCAACGCCGCGUGAGUGAAGAAGGUUUUCGGAAUCGUAAAACUCUGUUGUCAGAGAAGAACAAGUUGGAGAGUAACUGCUCCAGCCUUGACGGUAUCUGACCAGAAAGCCACGGCUAACUACGUGCCAGCAGCAGC
rnacentral:rRNA from 1 species